AUGUAUGUAUACAGCACACGGACAUAUUAACACGUAUAUUGUCUACUUUCCUCUUAUUCCUUUUUUGCUAUUCUUUGUGUUUAGUGUGCGUGUGAGUACUAAGUCUGAAACCUUUGCUAAGAUUUCCAUGUUAGAGAGAGUACCUUUUGAGGAAGUUGAUGCUUAGGUGGGGGUGAGCUGACAAGGCUGAAAAUUGCAGUACAUUUUCGUAACAGGGAGCGCAUCUCAUUUGAUCACUUAGUUUCGAUGAAGAAAGCUGGUGAAGCUGCCAAAGUAACUGUUUUGCGAGCAGGCGAACAACUUCACUUUGACAUCAAGCUGGGUCCUGUACGCCAAAUUAUCAUUUUUUUACGUUUUCCGCUACAAAUUUGUUAUUUUGAAUUGAGUUGUCAAGUUAAAUUAGCAGUUACUGAUUAUUUUUGAGAGUUAAAACGUACUCAAGGAGAGCUUUUGUUUGGUUUGUAGACGUUUGUAAAGAAAAUUAGAAGAACUGAAGGUUGUCCUAUCGACGAUACAUAAAUUCAGUUAACAUGCUCGUACAUCUUACAAGUUUAACUUCAGUUUUUGUCGCUUGACAAGGAGUCUGAAAUCAACCUCAACCUGGCUUUGCUACAACAUAUAGUUUUGACUUCCAUGAUCAUCGCUUUUGUGCAGUUACGACCUUUGGUACCGAUCCAUCAGUUUGAUGUAUUGCCAAGUUACUACAUUUUUGCGGGCCUUGUAUUCACACCUUUGACUCAACCCUAUUUGCAAGAAUAUGGAGAGGAUUGGUAUAACACCUCACCUCGGCGGCUUUGUGAGCGUGCCCUGUCUGCAUAUCCAACCGAGCCUGGUCAACAACUUGUCAUCUUGUCACAGGUGAAACUUAAGGGAUGCUAUCAAGGAUUUCUUGGAUAAGCAGUUAUUUCUUGAUAGUCUCAAUCACUCAUAU
rnacentral:lncRNA from 1 species